GACGACCGCUGGCGGCGUGAUCAACACACGCAAGUCGUUCGGUGUGGACAACUCGUGAGUAACACGUCGGUGACUUGCCCCGCAUUUCGGGAUAAGCCUGGGAAACUGGGUCUAAUACCGGAUAGUGUGGGAUGGGCCCGCGGCCUAGCAGCUUGUUGGUGGGGUAAUGGCCUACCAAGGCGGCGCCGGGUAGCCGGCCUGAGAGGGUGGACGGCCACAUUGGGACUGAUGCACAGCCCAGACUCCUACUUGAGGCAGCAGUGUGUGUUAUUGCACAGUGGUCGAAAGACAUAUACAUCGACGCCGCGUGGGGGAGGACCAGCUGUGUAUUAGAAACACCUAUCGCCAUCGAGGCGGGAAGUGGAGAGGAAGCAGCGGCUAAGUACGUGGCAGCAGCCGCGGUAAUAC
rnacentral:rRNA from 1 species